rnacentral:tRNA from 1 species
GUGGUGGCUCAGUGGUAGAGUUCUCGUCUUGCAUGUGUGAGGCACUGAGUUCAAUUCUCAGCACCACA